rnacentral:rRNA from 1 species
CCCGCGGCGCAUUAGCUAGUUGGUGAGGUAACGGCUCACCAAGGCGACGAUGCGUAGCCGACCUGAGAGGGUGAUCGGCCACACUGGGACUGAGACACGGCCCAGACUCCUACGGGAGGCAGCAGUAGGGAAUCUUCCACAAUGGGCGAAAGCCUGAUGGAGCAACGCCGCGUGAGUGAAGAAGGAUUUCGGUUCGUAAAACUCUGUUGUAAGGGAAGAACAAGU